GCAUGGCUGGGGCCAGCAGCAGCAAGGAGUCCAGUCGGAUAUCAGAUGGCAAGAAACAGGAGGGACCAGCCACUCAGGUGUCAAAGAAGAACCCAGCUUCCCUCCCACUGACCCAGGCUACCCUGAAGGUCCUCGCCCAGAAAGCCAGUGAGGCUCAGCCUCCUGUUGCCAGGACCCAGCCUUCAAGUGGGGUGAGCUUGGGGAGCCAGGGGAAGCAAGCCCACGGAGCAUAGAAGGUGCAGGCGUGGCCCUGCAUCCCGGCACCAGCACUCACCUGCCCCAUGACCUCUGCACUUGGUUUGCCUCCCUGGGCCUCAGUGGCCUAAUCUGUAAGAAGGAAUUACAGUACCUUUCGUAGUUGGAAGGAUCAAAUGAGGCUGCAUGUGUGCCCCAUCUAACACAGUUCCUGGCCCUACAGAAGUGUUCAGGAAGGACCAGGUCUUACUUGCCCUAAUUUUUCCUUCCAUUCCUUCUCCUUUCACCGAAUUAGGUUGACAGUGCUGUGGGAACACUCCCUGCAACAAGUCCCCAGAGCAGCUCCGUCCAGGCCAAAGGGACCAACAAGCUCAGAAAACCUAAGCUUCCUGAGGUCCAGCAGGCCACCAAAGCCCCUGAGAGCUCAGAUGACAGUGAGGACAGCAGCGACAGUUCUUCAGGGAGUGAGGAAGAUGCUGAAGGGCCCCAGGGGGCCAAGUCGGCCCACACGCUGGUAGGUCCCACCCCCUCCAGGACAGAGACCCUGGUGGAGGAGACCGCAGCAGAGUCCAGCGAGGAUGAUGUGGUGGCGCCAUCCCAGGUAACUGCAAGGGAGAGGACUGGCAGCCCAUAGGCCUUAGGGUGGAGCCCUAGGCCAGGCUCCUGUCUACCCGAUCCCUCAGGUCAGGGGUCUGGGUCCCC
rnacentral:sRNA from 1 species